rnacentral:rRNA from 1 species
UACAGAGGGUGUACAGCGUUGUUCGGAAUUAUUGGGCGUAAAGCGCGUGUAGGCGGCUUUGCAAGUCGGGUGUGAAAGCCCUCAGCUCAACUGAGGAAGUGCGCCCGAAACUGCAGAGCUUGAGUACCGGAGAGGAUGGCGGAAUUCCCCAAGUAGAGGUGAAAUUCGUAGAUAUGGGGAGGAACACCGGUGGCGAAGGCGGCCAUCUGGACGGAUACUGACGCUGAGACGCGAAAGCGUGGGUAGCAAACAGG